CCUACGGGAGGCUGCAGUGGGGAAUAUUGGACAAUGGGGGGAACCCUGAUCCAGCCAUGCCGCGUGUGUGAAGAAGGCCCUCGGGUUGUAAAGCACUUUCAGUGAGGAAGAACGCCUGGUGGUUAAUACCCAUCAGGAAAGACAUCACUCACAGAAGAAGCACUGGCUAACUCCGUGCCAGCAGCCGCGGUAAUACGGAGGGUGCGAGCGUUAAUCGGAAUUACUGGGCGUAAAGCGCGCGUAGGUGGCUUGAUAAGCCGGUUGUGAAAGCCCCGGGCUCAACCUGGGAACGGCAUCCGGAACUGUCAAGCUAGAGUGCAGGAGAGGAAGGUAGAAUUCCCGGUGUAGCGGUGAAAUGCGUAGAGAUCGGGAGGAAUACCAGUGGCGAAGGCGGCCUUCUGGACUGACACUGACACUGAGGUGCGAAAGCGUGGGUAGCAAACAGGAUUAGAUACCCCGGUAGUC
rnacentral:rRNA from 1 species